GUCUACUGAAGUGCAUCCAAUUUGAAAGCUAUCUGAAGCUGGCAGGGCAAAUAAAAAUUCUUCAAUUAUUUGGAAAUAAACAUUUGAGUUCAGAUCAGCAGCAAGAUGCUUUUCUAUACAAUCUUCCACAAAACUUAAAAGAAGAUACAGUUUUUGUUAUGGAUAAAUGGCACCUCCUUUUGAUUUCAUGGUUACCAUUUUUGCAACAAAGCAUGAGAAGGCUUUUCUGAAAUCAUAGUCUUCCUGCAAUCUUCACAUUUAUUACUAAUCAACUUACAUGCCACAAAUCUUCCUAGAUAACAGAUGAUGCAUUGUAUGUAUUGAAUGGUUGCAUAAUUGUGAUUACCAAGAAUUGCUAAUGGUUCUAGAGGGCAGUUUGGCAAGUAAGAAGCAGGAGAAUUUGACAGGUAUUCUUCUACUUGUUGGUCUAGCUUCUUUAGCAGUGUGGAUCUGUUGUAUGCUUCAAUUGGAAAAGUAUAUCAACAGGACAAUAUUUCACAGCUGCUCAUUUUGGAAGUUUAACCAAGGAAUAAACAGACAUGAGUCUGUACAGAUACAUAAACUGUACAGUUGUGGGAUGUGUGCCACCUCCGCAACCUUGCUGUAUCAUUCCAAAAAACUUCUAACAAAAAUAUUUUAAUUCAUCUAUUAACAAUUGUUGAAAAGUUUCACAUGAACUUAUUUCAAGAGGAUCCUGAAUGAAAUGAUUAGUCAAAACAUAUAAAAACUCUUCAUCUAGAAGUGAAUUGACUAAUUGAUAUAUACUGUACAAAGUGAUUCUCCAGUUGGAAGAUGUCUGUGGUGUCAAAAAAAAAUUUUUGCUCUCGUUUUGUUGAUUGCUGAAUAAAUUUUUCCUAGUUAUCAAUAAAUUCAAUAGCAUCUGCUAUAACCUAUAAAAACAGCAUUAGCAAGUCAUGUUUAAAUAUUUAUCAUGUAUUGCAUUUCCAUAUCUUUAAAUCCUCAGAUGAUUUUUUCACACCAUUUUUUUGGCAGCUUUCUGUUCAAGACAUCAAACAGUCUGUUCCAAAAUCUUGUAAAGGUGAUAGUUGCAUCAGAAUCCGAUAGCUGUGUGGUUCCAAUUGAUUUAUAAAAUGCCAAUCUAUUGGCAACAGAUUCACUGAAAAGCUAUUAGAAAUUAUUAAAAACUGAAUAAAGUCUUAAUAUAGAAAAAUGAUUGUGUUACCUGUGUUGCAAGGCAAACAAUCAUGAAUUAUACAGAGCACUAUGGCAGGAAAACACAUAAUAAGAAACUUGUAUUCAAUUUUAA
rnacentral:lncRNA from 1 species